rnacentral:misc_RNA from 1 species
UGGCUCUGGCAUNGAUGAAGAACGCAGCGAAAUGCGAUAAGUAAUGUGAAUUGCAGAAUUAGUGAAUCAUCGAAUCUUUGAACGCACAUUGCGCCUUUUGGUAAUCCGAAAGGCAUAUCUGUUCGAGCGCCGAUUGGUUAGUAAGCUUUGCUUUGUGUUGAUGCCGCAGGGUGCAGCAUCGAAUUCUAUUGGCGUUGUGUAACUCUGGAUCGUAGUGCAAAUACGCUAGAGAGCGAAGCAACGCCUGUUGACUCAAGCUUGGCCUCGAAUCAGAUAGGGAUACCCGCUGA